rfam:Lentisphaerae bacterium GWF2_57_35 gwf2_scaffold_213, whole genome shotgun sequence.
GGAACCGCGAGGUUCCUGCUAAAGGAAGUCUGGAGCAAAACCGCGAGCCCACGAAUAGAAACGUCAUAGAAGGCUCAGCCCGAGGACGAGCAGGCACAACACGAGUGAAGUCCGACUGAUCUAGGGCAGGGUAAAUGACGGGGCACUGCGGGGGAAGUUUGCGCAC